rnacentral:rRNA from 1 species
UACGUAGGGGGCUAGCGUUGUCCGGAAUCAUUGGGCGUAAAGAGCGUGUAGGCGGCCCGGUAAGUCCGCUGUAAAAGUCAAAGGCUCAACCUCGAGACGCCGGUGGAAACCAUCUAGCUAGAGUCCGGAAGAGGAGAGUGGAAUUCCUGGUGUAGCGGUGAAAUGCGCAGAUAUCAGGAAGAACACCCGUGGCGAAGGCGGCUCUCUGGGACGUGACUGACGCUGAGGUGCGAAAGCGUGGGGAGCAAACAGG